CCGUUCUUGUGUUAUUUGUUGAGUCAGUUCGCCAGAUUCAACGAUUGUCAAAAAUAACGCAUAUUGUAGUUGACAGUUUCACUCCAUAAUGUUGGGCUCUUAACUCCAAAGCUAUGACAUUACUAAAUGCUGCCUAGACUA